rnacentral:rRNA from 1 species
UACGAAGGGUGCAAGCGUUAAUCGGAAUUACUGGGCGUAAAGCGUGCGUAGGCGGCUUUUUAAGUCGGAUGUGAAAUCCCCGGGCUCAACCUGGGAAUGGCAUCCGAUACUGGGGAGCUGGAGUUUGGGAGAGGGUGGUGGAAUUCCCGGUGUAGCGGUGAAAUGCGUAGAGAUCGGGAGGAACAUCAGUGGCGAAGGCGGCCACCUGGCCUAAAACUGACGCUGAGGCACGAAAGCGUGGGGAGCAAAC